rnacentral:pre_miRNA from 1 species
UUUGUGGGGGAUGUUGGCUGGCUCGAUGCAUUCACGUGUGAUGAUGAUCUGAUAAUAUUCGAGAUCGGAGCAUGUGGCGGCAUCGGACCAGGCUUCAUUCCUCUCAAA